ACAAUACUCCACACCACAACCUUAAGUCUCCUAACCUCCACCUCUCUCUGAAAAGAUCUAAUUUCAUGUCCAUCAACCCCCUCUAGUAUGAGGCCUGACCUGAAGAGAUGACGAGAAUCCUAUCUUUUUAGCUUUUCCUGUUCACGACUCCGAUCUUCUUUCAAUCUAAUCUCGACCCGUCUCUCUCCCUAGCCUCCACCUCUCUCAGUCUCUCUAAUCUGAUCAAUUUGAUCAUGUUUUACAACAACGAUAGGUUAUUGAGGAGGGUAAUCACAUACCUGAAGAGGGAGAGACGCCUCUGUGGAAACUUGAGAGAUAUUGGAGACUGCAGAGGAAAUUGAUGGAGAGAUGGCCCAUCUGAUCUGCCGAGGUAAUGAUGAAUCUUCUAAGCUAGCCGCAAUCCUCACAUUCAGGUGAAGGCUUGGUGUAUCUAACUCCAAAAGAAGCUUUUGUAUGUAUCAUUGGUGAAAGGUCAGGACAUGCUAGGGGGCUUGGAUGUGGUCUUAGGGGUGCUAUAACUAGGCGGAACCAUUUGCAAGAGCUAAUUGAACAAAUGUUUAAAAAGUAAUGAAUUUGCGGUCACAAAAUUGGAAGAGACUUUUGAUGCCCGUGUUCAAGCUGCAUUAACGAUGGCUGAAUCUCGUGUUGAAGCAUGUUUUGAAUCUCGUGUUAACGCAGCAGUUCAGGCCACUUUAGUAAAGUUUAUGGUACAUCAACAACAAUCUUGAGGACGUACUUAUGAUGAUAGUUCAGCCUAAUAUAAUACCAUGAGUAAUUUUUUGAAAAAUGAAAGAGCUUCAAGGAUUCUUUGAGGUUUUGCGAAUCCCUGCGUCCCCGCACCCGCAUCCCGUAUACGAGUCGGUGCUUCCUAGCUUGAAUCUUGUGCAUCCAACUCAGCAGUUGGGAUAAUUGUACUUGCUUAGUUGCUCGCAGGAUUUGACAUACUAUCAUCAAGGUUGAGCAAUCUGGAGCUGCUUGACUUUGACUUUAACGAUUUCCAUAACAGCAUCCUGUCAUCUCUGAAUGGUCUUUCUUCCUUAAAAUUUGUAUAUCUGAAUUACAAUCAAUUGAAGGGAACAAUUCGUAGCCAUGAGCUACACGAUCUAAACAACUUGGAGGAGUUACAUAUAAGCGGGAAUAAGAUUGAAGGCUUUGCAUCUCUUCAAGGCAAAAGAACUUUGAACAAGUUAAAAGUUCUUGAUCUAGGAGGCCAACAGAUCAAUACAAGUAUUCAACUGUAAUCAUUAGGAUCACUCCCAAACCUCAGGACACUUAUUCUUACAAAUAACUACUUAAAUGGAACAACAACCACUCAAGAGUUGGGAAACUUGAGCGUGGUGGAAUAUUUGGACCUGGCUGAUUCUAGUCUGCGUACAGACUUUCUCCAAAGCAUUGGAUCAUUGACUUACCUUAGAGUUCUAAGUUUGGAAAAUUGUGGACUCAAGGGUAUCCUACCUAAUCAAGGCUGGUGCAAAUUGAAGAACUUGCAAGUGCUUCGUCUCAAUUCAAAUGAACUUGAAGGGACACUCCCACCAUGUUUAGGAAACUUGUCAUCUCUUCAAGAUAUGGAUAUCUAUUCCAAUCAAUUCAUUGGAAAUAUUGCCUCCACUUCCAUAUCCAAUCACAUUGAAGUCCCAAUAUCAUUAAAGCCAAUGGCAAAUCUGUCAAAUCUUUGGAAUUUCCUAGCUGAUAACAUUGUUCAAGUUCUUGAUAGCCAAUUCUGGAUUCCAAGAUUUCAACUACAGUCACUGAUUUUGGGGAGUUCUCUUUUCAAGAAUUCGAAACAACAUCUUC